CUGUUAAAACCCAACUAUGAGAAUUCUGGAUAUAAACGUCUAUCUACCUUGACGCUUACCCACGCCCCCCAGACAAUCCAUUUUAGAUUUACUUUUAUUUAGUAUCGCACCAAUAUGAAGGAUGCGCCAAUGGAAAUAACAGAAAGGCGGGGCUUAGGUCUGAAAAUAAGCGAACAAUUAUUAUGCCUGUGUUGGUGGGUGGGACUGUUUAGAUUUUGGCAAUGGGUUAGUGUAGAGUAGAUGUUGAUACUUCAGCUACAGACGCGUGCUUAGUAGGACAUUAACUGUUUGAUACUGACUCGGUAUGUGAACUUCAUCUGCCUUUGCUGUCUGCUCAAAUUCAAGCCUUCGGUUGGAGCCUGACAGUCACACAGCCAAGGUGCUGAGGCAUAAACUGCAGCAUCCCAGUUAAAAUUUGGAGACGUCAUGCUCUCUGGGAAAUAAUCUAAAAAAACAACAAAACUUUCGCCUUUGGACGUUGUAUUGCCGAUGCUCGUGGACUGCAUUUCCAGCAUUUUCCUUCUUCGCUCUGAAUCGAGUGAGGUUCGCAGUUUAGAAGCUGCAAGUGGAGCUAUUGAGCAACAGCUUUCCAACAUUGUAGAGGUCAGAAAGUAAAUGAUGGGCAGUACGGUUAUGGAUAACAAAAAGAAAAAAGACAGUACUAAGAAAAAUGUGGGUCAGAAGAAACGCAUGCUGCGUGUAAACAUACCUAGCUAUUCUUCAUGUUUGCUUCGGAGUAAAGCUACAGUCUCAGAAUUGUAACAUCAUUUCUUAUUAGUACAGUAGAAAAGAAGAAAUGACUAUCAGCAGCGCACAGACAUCAAAGAAUGAACAUCACUACUAAAAAAGAAAGGAUGAAAAACUUGUCUAAAACUAAAAUAAACGAUAUCCAAAGUGAA